GCGGAAGUAGCUCAGUUGGUAGAGCAUUAGCCUUCCAAGCUAAGGGUCGCGAGUUCGAACCUCGUCUUCCGCUCCA
rnacentral:tRNA from 9 species